rnacentral:tRNA from 1 species
GUGGUUUGUAGCUCAGUUGGUAGAGCACAUGCCUAGCACAUGUGAGGCACUAGGUUUGAUCCUCAGCACCACA